UACGGGGGGAGCAAGCGUUGUUCGGAUUUACUGGGCGUAAAGGGCGCGUAGGCGGUCGUGACAAGUCACUUGUGAAAUCUCCGGGCUUAACCCGGAAAGGUCAGCCGAUACUGCGGGGCUAGAGUGCAGAAGGGGCAACUGGAAUUCUCGGUGUAGCGGUGAAAUGCGUAGAUAUCGAGAGGAACACCUGCGGCGAAGGCGGGUUGCUGGGCUGACACUGACGCUGAGGCGCGAAAGCUAGGGGAGCGAACGGG
rnacentral:rRNA from 1 species